rnacentral:rRNA from 1 species
UUGGCGGACGGGUGAGUAACACGUGAGCAACCUGCCUUCGAGAGGGGAAUAACGGCUGGAAACGGUCGCUAAUACCGCAUAACGUACGGAUGGGACAUCCUGUCUGUACCAAAGAUUUAUCGCUCGAAGAUGGGCUCGCGUCCGAUUAGGUAGUUGGUGAGGUAACGGCCCACCAAGCCGACGAUCGGUAGCCGGACUGAGAGGUUGAACGGCCACAUUGGGACUGAGACACGGCCCAGACUCCUACGGGAGGCAGCAG